UGACCGCUGACAGAAUGCUUAACACAUGCAAGUCAACUUGAAUUUGGGUUUUUAACUUAGGUUUGGGUGGCGGACGGGUGAGUAACGCGUAAAGAACUUGCCUCACAGCUAGGGACAACAUUUGGAAACGAAUGCUAAUACCUAAUAUUAUGAUAAUAGGGCAUCCUAUAAUUAUGAAAGCUAUAAGCGCUGUGAGAGAGCUUUGCGUCCCAUUAGCUAGUUGGAGAGGUAACGGCUCACCAAGGCGAUGAUGGGUAGCCGGCCUGAGAGGGUGAUCGGCCACAAGGGGACUGAGACACGGCCCUUACUCCUACGGGAGGCAGCAGUGGGGAAUAUUGGACAAUGGACCGAGAGUCUGAUCCAGCAAUUCUGUGUGCACGAUGAAGUUUUUCGGAAUGUAAAGUGCUUUCAGUUGGGAAGAAACAAAUGACGGUACCAACAGAAGAAGUGACGGCUAAAUACGUG
rnacentral:rRNA from 1 species